AUUGAACGCUGGCGGAAUGCUUUACACAUGCAAGUCGAACGGCAGCACGGGGGCAGUCCUGGUGGCGAGUGGCGAACGGGUGAGUAAUACAUCGGAACGUGCCCGGUCGUGGGGGAUAACGUAGCGAAAGUUACGCUAAUACCGCAUACGAUCUGAGGAUGAAAGCGGGGGACCUUCGGGCCUCGCGCGAUCGGAGCGGCCGAUGUCAGAUUAGGUAGUUGGUGGGGUAAAGGCCUACCAAGCCGACGAUCUGUAGCUGGUCUGAGAGGACGACCAGCCACACUGGGACUGAGACACGGCCCAGACUCCUACGGGAGGCAGCAGUGGGGAAUUUUGGACAAUGGGCGCAAGCCUGAGCCAGCCAUUCCGCGUGCAGGACGAAGGCCUUCGGGUUGUAAACUGCUUUUGUACGGAACGAAAAGGCUCUGGCUAAUACCUGGGGCUCAUGACGGUACCGUAAGAAUAAGCACCGGCUAACUACGUG
rnacentral:rRNA from 1 species